CCUACGGGAGGCAGCAGUGGGGAAUAUUGGACAAUGGGCGAAAGCCUGAUCCAGCAAUUCCGCGUGUGUGAAGAAGGCCUUCGGGUUGUAAAGCACUUUAGUGGGGGAAGAAACAGCUUGGCCACACCAAGCCUUGACGGUACCCCAAGAAUAAGCACCGGCUAACUCUGUGCCAGCAGCCGCGGUAAUACAGAGGGUGCAAGCGUUAAUCGGAUUUACUGGGCGUAAAGGGUGCGUAGGUGGCUAUUUAAGUCGGAUGUGAAAGCCCGGGGCUCAACCUCGGAAUUGCAUUCGAUACUGAGUGGCUAGAGUUCGGUAGAGGGCGGCGGAAUUUCCGGUGUAGCGGUGAAAUGCGUAGGUAUCGGAAGGAACAUCAAUGGCGAAGGCAGCCGCCUGGGCCUGGACUGACACUGAGGCACGAAAGCGUGGGUAGCAAACAGGAUUAGAUACCCUGGUAGUCCACGCCGUAAACGAUGAGAACUUGACGUUGGUUCGUUUUACGAAUCGGUGUCGCAGCUAACGCGAUAAGUUCUCCGCCUGGGGAGUACGGCCGCAAGGUUGAAACUCAAAUGAAUUGACGG
rnacentral:rRNA from 1 species